rnacentral:rRNA from 1 species
ACUCAAAUGAAUUGACGGGGGCCCGCACAAGCAGUGGAGCAUGUGGUUCAAUUCGAUGCAACGCGAAGAACCUUACCUGGGCUUGACAUGUAAGCUAAGGCGAAUGAAAGUUCGCGUCCCGCAAGGGGAGCUUAUACAGGUGCUGCAUGGCUGUCGUCAGCUCGUGCCGUGAGGUGUUGGGUUAAGUCCCGCAACGAGCGCAACCCUUGUUUCUAGUUGCUACCGGAUAAUGCCGGGCACUCUAGAGAGACUGCCUACGCAAGUAGUGAGGAAGGUGGGGAUGACGUCAAGUCCGCAUGGCCCUUACGCCCAGGGCCACACACGUGCUACAAUGGCUACUACAAAGGGCUGCCAGACCGCGAGGUUGAGCCAAUCCCUAAAAAGUAGUCUCAGUUCGGAUCGGAGUCUGAAACUCGACUCCGUGAAGCUGGAAUUGCUAGUAAUCGUGGAUCAGCACGCCACGGUGAAUACGUUCCCGGGCCUUGCACACACCGCCCGU